rnacentral:rRNA from 1 species
UGGGGAAUAUUGCACAAUGGGGGAAACCCUGAUGCAGCGACGCCACGUGAACGAAGAAGGUAUUCGUAUCGUAAAGUUCUGUCCUAUGGGAAGAUAAUGACAGUACCAUAGAAGAAAGCUCCGGCUAAAUACGUGCCAGCAGCCGCGGUAAUACGUAUGGAGCGAGCGUUGUCCGGAAUUAUUGGGCGUAAAGGGUACGCAGGCGGUUUAAUAAGUCGAAUGUUAAAGAUCGGGGCUCAACCCCGUAAAGCAUUGGAAACUGAUAAACUUGAGUAGUGGAGAGGAAAGUGGAAUUCCUAGUGUAGUGGUGAAAUACGUAGAUAUUAGGAGGAAUACCAGUAGCGAAGGCGACUUUCUGGACACAAACUGACGCUGAGGUACGAAAGCGUGGGGAGCAAACAGGAUUAGAUACCCACGUAGUCCCUGAGCGGGCUGGCAAGGCGCAU